rnacentral:rRNA from 1 species
ACGGGAGGCAGCAGUGGGGAAUAUUGCACAAUGGGGGAAACCCUGAUGCAGCAACGCCGCGUGAGCGAAGAAGGUCUUCGGAUCGUAAAGCUCUGUCCUAUGGGACGAAUAAAUGACGGUACCAUAGGAGGAAGCCCCGGUUAACUACGUGCCAGCAGCCGCGGUAAUACGUAGGGGGCGAGCGUUAUCCGGAAUUAUUGGGCGUAAAGAGUACGUAGGUGGCUGCGUAAGCGAGAGGUGAAAGCCCGGGGCUUAACUCCGGUAAGCCUUUCGAACUGCGUGGCUUGAGUGCAGGAGGGGAAAGUGGAAUCCCUAGUGUAGCGGUGAAAUGCGUAGAUAUUAGGAGGAACACCGGUGGCGAAGGCGACUUUCUGGACUGUAACUGACACUGAGGCACGAAAGUAUGGGGAGCAAACAGGAUUAGAUACCCUGGUA